rnacentral:misc_RNA from 1 species
UACGGAGGGUGCAAGCGUUAAUCGGAAUUACUGGGCGUAAAGCGCGCGUAGGUGGUGUAUUAAGUUGACUGUGAAAGCCCCGGGCUCAACCUGGGAGGGUCAGUCAAAACUGAUAGACUAGAGUAUGGGAGAGGGCAGUGGAAUUUCCGGUGUAGCGGUGAAAUGCGUAGAGAUCGGAAGGAACACCAGUGGCGAAGGCGACUGCCUGGCCUGAUACUGACACUGAGGUGCGAAAGCGUGGGUAGCGAACAGG